GUGUUGUUGGGUAGGGGAGCGUUCUGUAAGCCUGUGAAGGUGGCCUGUGAGGGUUGCUGGAGGUAUCAGAAGUGCGAAUGCUGACAUAAGUAACGAUAAAGCGGGUGAAAAGCCCGCUCGCCGGAAGACCAAGGGUUCCUGUCCAACGUUAAUCGGGGCAGGGUGAGUCGACCCCUAAGGCGAGGCCGAAAGGCGUAGUCGAUGGGAAACGGGUUAAUAUUCCCGUACUUGGUGUUACUGCGAAGGGGGGACGGAGAAGGCUAUGUUGGCCGGGCGACGGUUGUCCCGGUUUAAGCGUGUAGGUGUGUGUUCCAGGUAAAUCCGGUUCACUUUAACACUGAGGCGUGAUGACGAGGCACUACGGUGCUGAAGCAACAAAUGCCCUGCUUCCAGGAAAAGCCUCUAAGCAUCAGGUAACAUCAAAUCGUACCCCAAACCGACACAGGUGGUCAGGUAGAGAAUACCAAGGCGCUUGAGAGAACUCGGGUGAAGGAACUAGGCAAAAUGGUGCCGUAACUUCGGGAGAAGGCACGCUGACAUGUAGGUGAAGUGAUUUACUCAUGGAGCUGAAGUCAGUCGAAGAUACCAGCUGGCUGCAACUGUUUAUUAAAAACACAGCACUGUGCAAACACGAAAGUGGACGUAUACGGUGUGACGCCUGCCCGGUGCCGGAAGGUUAAUUGAUGGGGUCAGCGCAAGCGAAGCUCCUGAUCGAAGCCCCGGUAAACGGCGGCCGUAACUAUAACGGUCCUAAGGUAGCGAAAUUCCUUGUCGGGUAAGUUCCGACCUGCACGAAUGGCGUAAUGAUGGCCAGGCUGUCUCCACCCGAGACUCAGUGAAAUUGAACUCGCUGUGAAGAUGCAGUGUACCCGCGGCAAGACGGAAAGACCCCGUGAACCUUUACUAUAGCUUGACACUGAACAUUGAGCCUUGAUGUGUAGGAUAGGUGGGAGGCUUUGAAGCGUGGACGCCAGUCUGCAUGGAGCCGGCCUUGAAAUACCACCCUUUAAUGUUUGAUGUUCUAACGUGGACCCGUGAUCCGGGUUGCGGACAGUGUCUGGUGGGUAGUUUGACUGGGGCGGUCUCCUCCUAAAGAGUAACGGAGGAGCACGAAGGUUGGCUAAUCCUGGUCGGACAUCAGGAGGUUAGUGCAAUGGCAUAAGCCAGCUUGACUGCGAGCGUGACGGCGCGAGCAGGUGCGAAAGCAGGUCAUAGUGAUCCGGUGGUUCUGAAUGGAAGGGCCAUCGCUCAACGGAUAAAAGGUACUCCGGGGAUAACAGGCUGAUACCGCCCAAGAGUUCAUAUCGACGGCGGUGUUUGGCACCUCGAUGUCGGCUCAUCACAUCCUGGGGCUGAAGUAGGUCCCAAGGGUAUGGCUGUUCGCCAUUUAAAGUGGUACGCGAGCUGGGUUUAGAACGUCGUGAGACAGUUCGGUCCCUAUCUGCCGUGGGCGCUGGAGAACUGAGGGGGGCUGCUCCUAGUACGAGAGGACCGGAGUGGACGCAUCACUGGUGUUCGGGUUGUCAUGCCAAUGGCACUGCCCGGUAGCUAAAUGCGGAAGAGAUAAGUGCUGAAAGCAUCUAAGCACGAAACUUGCCCCGAGAUGAGUUCUCCCUGAGACUUAAAGUCUCCUGAAGGAACGUUGAAGACGACGACGUUGAUAGGCCGGGUGUGUAAGCGCAGCGAUGCGUUGAGCUAACCGGUACUAAUGAACCGUGAGGCUUAACCUUACAACGCCGAAG
rnacentral:rRNA from 1 species